rnacentral:rRNA from 1 species
UGAGGAAUAUUGGGUCAAUGGACGCAAGUCUGAACCAGCCAAGUCGCGUGCAGGAAUAAGGCCCUAUGGGUCGCAGACUGCUUUUGCAUGAGAAUAAAAAGUGGGACGAGUCCCACCCUGUAGGUAUCAUGCGAAUAAGGAUCGGCUAACUCCGUGCCAGCAGCCGCGGUAAUACGGAGGAUCCGAGCGUUAUCCGGAUUCAUUGGGUUUAAAGGGUGCGCAGGCGGGCCUGUAAGCCCGUGGUGAAAGCCUGGUGCUCAACGCCAGAGGUGCCGCGGGAACUGCAGGUCUUGAGUCGUGACGAGGGCG